UACGUAGGUGACCAGCGUUGUCCGGAUUUACUGGGCGUAAAGAGCGCGCAGGCGGUCGUUCAAGUCGAGUGUGAAAGCCCCCCGGCUCAACUGGGGAGGGUCACGCGAUACUGAUCGACUCGAAGGCAGGAGAGGGUAGUGGAAUUCCCGGUGUAGUGGUGAAAUGCGUAGAUAUCGGGAGGAACACCAGUGGCGAAGGCGACUACCUGGCCUGUUCUUGACGCUGAGGCGCGGCAAAGCUAAGGGGCAACGGGG
rnacentral:rRNA from 1 species